GCUAAACGCGAAGAACCUUACCUACCCUUGACAUGUCUGGAAGAUCUAAGAGAUUAGAUUGUGCUCGCAAGAGAACCGGAACACAGGUGCUGCAUGGCUGUCGUCAGCUCGUGUCGUGAGAUGUUGGGUUAAGUCCCGCAACGAGCGCAACCCUUGCCAUUAGUUGCUACAUUCAGUUGGGCACUCUAAUGGGACUGCCGGUGACAAACCGGAGGAAGGUGGGGAUGACGUCAAGUCCUCAUGGCCCUUAUGGGUAGGGCUUCACACGUCAUACAAUGGUCGGGACAGAGGGUUGCCAAGCCGCGAGGUGGAGCCAAUCUCUAAAAUCGCCCUCAGUUCAGAUUGCAGUCUGCAACCCGACUGCAUGAAGGUGGAAUCGCUAGUAAUCGCGGAUCAGAACGCCGCGGUGAAUACGUUCCCGGGUCUUGUACACACCG
rnacentral:rRNA from 1 species